UACAGAGGGUGCGAGCGUUAAUCGGAAUUACUGGGCGUAAAGCGCGCGUAGGCGGUUUUGUAAGUCGGGUGUGAAAUCCCCAGGCUCAACCUGGGAACUGCAUUCGAGACUGCAUUGCUAGAGUAUGGGAGAGGGAAGUGGAAUUUCCGGUGUAGCGGUGAAAUGCGUAGAUAUCGGAAGGAACAUCAGUGGCGAAAGCGACUUCCUGGACCAAUACUGACGCUCAUGUGCGAAAGCGUGGGGAGCAAACAGG
rnacentral:rRNA from 1 species